UGGAAUCUAGUAUUAUAUAUACACUGGAACUAAGCUGCUUCAUUGCUGCUUACUGAUCAAGUCUUCUUAUAGCUGCUAACUACCUGUUCAAUAUGGUGAAGAGACGUCCUCCUCUGAGUCUGAGGGUACAACACGCCCAGACUCGGUACAGAUCCCACAAGAAACCCUCAUGGCUGAGAUCAAUCUUGUGUUAUGGCAAGAACGAUGUUGUGGAGCCCGACCACAUUGAAACGGGGCAAACUGGAGCACCAUUGUCACCCCCAGGUGAGACAACAGAUACUCUUCAGCAAGAGACAACUCCAGAGAAAACCACAGAGACAAUCCCAGAGACAAUCCAAGACACAAUUCCAGAGACAAUCCCAAAGAUAAUCCCAACAACUUCUCAGUCUGUGCAAGACACUUCCUUCCAAAGGUUUACCAUCUCCUGCAACAACGAAAAGGAUUUGUUAACAAGAAAUGACAUCAGCAGUCAGAACCUAGAAGAAGAGACCCAUCAAUCAUCUUCUCAUGACACUUCUUCUCAAAGAUCUACCGUCCCCUGCAACAACAAAUAUAGUUUGUGUGUGGGAGAUGACCUCAAUACUUUGAACAGGAUGGAAGUGACCGAUCAAUCAUCUUCUGCUGAUAUAACGUCCCCUGCAACAACAAAAAUAAUUUGUGGUGUGUGAGAGAUGACGACCUCGAGACUUUAAACAACCCGGAGGAGGAAUUGACUCAACAAACAAUAUCACAAUCAUCAUCUGUGGAAACCAUCCCAUUUACCGUCCCCUGCAACAACAAUAAUUUGUGCAAGAGAGAUGAUCUCAACGGUUCAAUCAGUCUGGAGAAGGUAUCACAGUCAUCUUCCAAGGAGCUUCCUUGGGCCUGGGUCUCCUUCAACUUCGUUCUAUUAAAAAAAAAUCGGCCUGGGACAGAGGCUAAUGCAGGGCGAGACAAUUGCUGUCUUGAAUACUCCGGCCUGGGCCUUUGCCGAUUUACAAGACAGCAACCACUUUGAAAGUGGCCGCAGCAAAUGAUUGCCAAUUGUCUCAACCCAAAGACAAAAAUCGAAAGAAGGAAACUCAUUGAUAUAAUAAUGACUGUAGCAUAGAGAACUGUUCUAAAUUCAAAAAAAGCUCUAUCAUAUAUAACUUGUUCAUACACAAAAGCAACAACAAAUAAUUGUAAAAUAGAGAG